rnacentral:other from 1 species
GUCUCCCUGUUGUGUUCGGGUAAAAAUUUAAUUUCUUGAGCCAACAGUUUGUAAAAGGGGUUGAUGGAUCGACUGUGGUGUGCAAACCCUCGUAAUAGAGGGGAGCCUAAAACAGUUCACGGAUGCCCCACCUGUCCUUGACAGGUUCAAAAAAUAGUUUUUGCGCGGCAUGAACGGGGAGACU